rnacentral:rRNA from 1 species
UAGCCCACACUUUUUCACUGAAACAAGGGGAAAGCUCAAAUGGGGUGUUGGCCCCCGAGGCAGCAGUAAAGAAUUUUGUGCAAUAUACGAAAGUAAGACACAGAGAGGGCACCUUUUCUAGUCCGUCAAAUUAAGUGCCAGCAGACGCGGUGAAACUUAAGGGCUAGUCUUAUAGGCAAAAGCGUAAAGGGUGUGAUAGGCCGCCUUAUUUAAGAGAGUAAAUGGAAUUUUUCUGUAAUGGUGGUAUGUGUAAAUAGGAAAAAGAACUUUAGACGUGAAGACUAUUUACUUCUAAGAUUAUAAUGUGUUGGCUAAAACACGAGAGUGUGGGGAGCAAACAGGAUUAGGUACCCUGGUAGUCCAUACUGUAAAUAAUGAAAAAGAUGUGAAGCAAUUCUAAAAGGUAAGAACUUUUCCGCUUGAGUAGUACGAUCGCAAGAUUAAAAUUCAAAAAACUUGGCUGUUCACUGUUUUGAUUAGAGGAGCGUGUCGUUUAAUUCGAUAGUCCGCGAGAGACCUUACCCAAACUUGAAUCCCUCAUUGACAGGUAUUGCAUGGCCGUCGUCAAUUUGUGUAUUAAACAUAAAACAAAUUCAACCCAGUGGUUUGUCUAUUGGAUGAAGUCAGGUCUUAUUGUCCUAAUGUUUGGGGAUUAGAUGCGCUACAUUUUUUUAUACAAUGGGAAACUUUGAAUGUGAAACCCAAAAAUAAGAGUUCGGAAGGUGUCUGGAAUAUAACGGAAAGUUGGAUUUAAUAGUAAUGAAAAUUAGGAGCUUUUCCAAAAAA